GGUGAAUCAGAGAGAGACUGGAAGAGGCUGCGCAUGGCUGUGAAGGUGGAGGAAGGGACCCCGAGCUGAGGGAUGCAGCGCCUCCGAGCACUGGGAAACUCUCCAGGAGGGCCUGGUCCUGCCCACAGCUUGAUGUUAGCCUGGCGGGGCAUGUGUGCACUCUGACCCCCAAGCUGUGAGAUGGUGACUUGCUUUAAGCCACCAGGUUUGUGGUACAGCAGCCCCAGGAGACACAGGGACUCUGCCCUGCAGUGUGGAAGGCAUGUGUGCCCCGGCCCCACUGCUGACUUGGGGAUGCAGGUCUGCACCUGGGGGAGGUGCACUCUCAGAGAAACACAAUGUUUUCGGAAAAG
rnacentral:lncRNA from 10 species